rnacentral:lncRNA from 1 species
GUGUCCCCCCGUCCCCGUGGUGUCCCCAUGUCCCCAAUGUCACCCCCGUCCCCGUGUCACUCCCCCUCCGUGUCCGCCCCGUCCCUGUGUCCCUGCGUCACCGCUGCCCCCCAAUGUCACCACUGCCCCCGAUGUCCCCAAUGUCCCCCCCCAAUGUCCCCACAGAAGCGCUGGGCCAAUGAGCGGCUGCUGCAGGGCAAGAAGAGCCUGGGGGAGGAGGAGAACCUCUAUGAGGUGACCUGGGGACAGCGGGGGGACGUGGGGGGACAUUGGGGGGACAUUGAGGGGACGUGGGGGGACACUGGGGGGACACUGGGGGGACAUUGGGGGGACGUGGGGGGACAUUGGGGGGACAGCAGGGGGACAUUGGGGGGACGUGGGGAGACGUGGGGACAUCACGGGGUUGUGGGGACACAGGGAGGUGUCGUGGGGACAUGGGGACAACCCUUGGUGGCCACAGAGCCCUUUUGGUGGCCGUGGGGACCCCUUUGGUGGCCAUGGGACACAUUUGGUGGCCAUAGGGCCCAUUUGGUGGCCGCGGGGACCCCAUUGGCGGCCAUAGAGCCCCUUUGGAGGCCAUAGGACCCCAUUGGCGGCCAUAGGACCCCUUUGGUGUCCGCGGGGACCCCAUUGGCGGCCAUAGGACCCCAUUGGCGGCCAUAGGACCCCUUUGGUGUCUGCGGGGACCCCAUUGGCGGCCAUAGGACCCCAUUGGCGGCCAUAGGACCCCAUUGGCGGCCAUAGGGCCCAUUUGGUGGCCAUAGGACCCCAUUGGCGGCCAUAGAACCCCUUUGGUGUCCGCGGGGACCCCAUUGGUGGCCAUAGGACCCCUUUGGUGGCCAUAGGACCCCAUUGGUGGCCAUAGGGCCCAUUUGUUGUCCGUGGGGACCCCUUUGGUGGCCAUAGGGCCCAUUUGGUGACCAUAGGACCCCAUUGGUGGCCAUAGAACCCCAUUGGUGGCCAUAGGGCCCAUUUGGUGACCGUGGGGACCCCAUUGGUGGCCAUAGGGCCCAUUUGUUGUCCGUGGGGACCCCAUUGGCGGCCAUAGGACCCCUUUGUUGUCCGUGGGGACCCCAUUGGCGGCCAUAGAGCCCAUUUGGCGGCCAUAGGACUCCAUUGGCGGCCAUAGAGCCCAUUUGGCGGCCAUAGAGCCCCUUUGGUGGCCAUAGGACCCCAUUGGCGGCCGUGGGGCCCCUUUGUUGUCCUUUGGGACCCCACUGGGGGCCGUGGGGCGGUUUCGGGGUGCGUUUGGGGCCCCAUGUGGGGCUCUGUGGUGACGGCGCUGCGGCGGCAGGGCCUGGAUUUGGCGCAGUGCUCCAUGUAUGAGGACAUCUCGCAGCGCCCGCAGCCCACCUAUGAGGACGUGGGGACGCGCGGAGCCACCGCCGCCGGCCUGGAGAAACCCUGAGGGGGUGGGGGGGCGGUGACGUCACGCUGACGUCACGGUGACGUCACGGCGGCGGCACGGCGGGGACAGCGCCCGCUGCUGUUUGGGGUUUGCGGCCUUUUGGGUUUGUUACACAAUAAAGAGCGCUGCGCUCACCUGGGGGGCGAUUCUGGGGGGCUGCGGACAAGAUGUGGGGCUGGGGACAGCGCUGUGGGGCUGGGGACACCGCUAUGGGGCUGGGGACAAGAUGUGGGGCUGUGCACAUCGCUAUGGGGUUGGGGACACUCUAUGGGGUUGGGGACACUCUAUGGGGCUGAGCAUACUGCUAUGGGGCUGGGUACAGCGCUAUGGGGCUGAGCACACCGCUAUGGGGCUGAGCACAUUGCUGUGGGGCUGGGGACACCGCUAUGGGGCUGAGCACAUCGCUAUGGGGCUGAGCACACCACUAUGGGGCUGGGGACACCACUAUGGGGCUGAGCACAUCGCUAUGGGGCUGAAGACACUCUAUGGGGCUGAGCACACCGCUAUGGGGCUGGGGACACCGCUUUGGGGUUGGGGACACCGCUAUGGGGCUGAGCACACCGCUAUGGGGCUGGGGACACUACUAUGGGGCUGAAGACACUCUAUGGGGCUGAGCACACCGCUAUGGGGCUGGGAACACCGCUGUGGGUCUGAGCACACCGCUAUGGGGCUGGGGAAACUAUGGGGCUGAGCACACCGCUAUGGGGCUGUGCACAUCGCUAUGGGGCUGGGGAAACUCUAUGGGGCUGAGGACACUCUAUGGGGUUGGGGACAAGCUGUGGGGCUGAGCACAGCGCUGUGGGGCUGGGGACACCACUAUGGGGCUGAGCACAUCGCUAUGGGGCUGAGCACAUUGCUGUGGGGCUGAGCACACCGCUAUGGGGCUGAGCACAGCGCUGUGGGGCUGAGCACACUGCUAUGGGGCUGAGCACACUGCUAUGGGGCUGGGGACACUCUAUGGGGCUGAGCACAGCGCUAUGGGGCUGAGCACACCGCUAUGGGGCCGGGGACACUCUAUGGGGUGCAGUGUUGUAUACUGGUCUAUACUGGUUUAUACUGGGAGGCGCCGCCCCCCCCUCCCGGUGUCGCUCUCAGUUCCUCUUUCCGACCCCCCAAAGGGGAAAUGGGAGGAAAUGGGGGGGGGGGGGGCGCCAAUUUUGGGGCAAAAUCUCCGCUUUUUGGGGCUUUUUG